GUCAAGGCGAUGCGAUCCCUCCGCGAGACAAACGCUCACGCCUGCUCUCUUACCCACCACAUUCCCCGGGGCAGCUGCGGCUUCUGUUUGCUCAUCUUUCGAUUUGUUUUCCUCUCUUCACAACAGAGGCAGUUGGGCGAUGUCAUCCAGGGUGCCCCGUCGUGUGCCCUGUGCUUUCUGGGAUUGGUGCCAGGACUGCCACAAGCCCAUAUUGGGUUUCCCAGCUUCAGAAUCCUGGGAUGAGGUGUUUCAGCCUUAUUAGAGCACCGCCUCCCAGUCAUAUUCUGAAGGAGCUCGUCUGUAAUGGAGGAGAGGCCUGCCUCAAAGGCCGCAGCUGUGUUUACCGCAUUUGCGCUCAACAAAACGUCUUGUCGCAUUGAUGCGGGAGCGAAGAUAACUUCUCCUUUUAGCUCUCCAUCCUUCGCAAUCACUUCUCCUUGUAUGGCACUGUUAGCAGCCUCGCCUGUGUGGUACUUCUGCAGGCUUAAGGCUCAGCAGAGUGAAGUCAGUUAGAGGGUAAAUAAAGGCACAUUUCCUGUGAAUCAGAUUUUACAGAAAUGUAAAUCAUGCUAAUUAUUCAGGCAUAAGGGAUGUUGUUUUAAAAUGCCUGUGGCCUAGCACUGCCAGGAACGACAGAUCAAAAUACCCCACAUGUCAGAUAACAGGCAGGGGUAGUGCCCCCUCAGUGGUACCUGGAAAUAUGUCUCAUAUUCACCUUUUUAAGAAAACCGAUUAAGUCAGUAUCUUUCCAGGGUGACAGAAGAUUAAAAACUGGGUAUCUUCCAAUUAAUAUAAAACUUCUCAAUAGUGUUUUGGAUAAAUUUAGAAGCUUGCAGUCUCCUUUUUGUAUAUGCAUGGUGCCAGAGGAGUCCAUAUACUGAGGUACUGAGGGGGGAAAAAAUCCAGAUAUUUUUGUAAUACAGCUUGUUUUUCAUGCAACAGUAAUAAUCACAGAAAAUAUGGUUUUCAGGUUGCCAUAUUUUGGUUCUGAAAUAUGUUUUUAUAAGUUUAAUAUGUUUCUGUUAAACAACAGCUUUUUAAAAAUUCACAUUUGUGUUUAUGCAAAUUCCAUAGUACGGUGAAAAUACAGAGCUGGAAAGCGAUUUAGGCAAAGAAAACCUGUGUGUGUGUGGGUGUGGGUGUGUGCACAUCCAGGUUUGUUUGUUUCAUGUAAAUAUAAAUUGGGCUUUAAGUGGAAUUAUUAAUAUCACACUUGAAGCAGAAACAUAAAUUGUGAGUCACUGAAUUAAAUAUAAGAGCAUUCAUUUUUAAUGCUGCAGGACUGGGGAAACUUGGAAAAUGUUUAAGGUCAGCUA